UUGACCUCAAAUCGGGUGAGACUACCCGCUG
rnacentral:rRNA from 4 species